ACCGAAUGCUCUAUCUUUCUAACCCCCACCUCUCAAUUAAUGUAUUUAUAUAGUCCCAUCUUCGCCUAAUGCUUCAUCUUCUUAACCCCUACCUCUCAAUUAAUGUGUUUACAUCAUCCCAUCUCUACCCAAUUCUUCAUCUUCCUAACUCCCAUUUCUCAAUUAAUGUGUUUACAUGGUUUCAUCUCCAUCCAAUGCUUCAUCUACUUAACUUCUACCUCUCAAUUGCUUUCACAAGAACAAAUAAGUAAAAUAAAGUUUCUUCAUACUUUUUUUUCAUAUUAUUUUUUUUUCUUUUUUUCUUGGCGCACAAAAAGGGCUCUUAUUUUGUAACUUUAUUAAUUUUUUUUUUUUAGUUGUGUGUGGAUUGAAAUUAGGAUUUCAAGGAUCGCGACAGGGUGCGACAGGAGAAAACGGUGAUGGAUUUGGAGUCGGUGAGGGGGAAGAAGCAGUGGAUAUGGAAGAAUCUAUACGGGAUUGACAUGGUCGUGACUAAAGGGGAGCUCGACACUAGUGGCGAAGGCGAUGUAAAGAUCGAAAUUUGCCUCCCCGAUGUCGAUAAUGCGAUAAAGGUGUGUAUGGGGUAAAAUUUUUUUUAUUACUUCUUUCAUUAUCGUUAUGUGUAAUUUAUUUACCAAAAUUAUAAAUUUUGCUAUAUCCUAGGCGUCACGGAUACUAACACGGGACACAAGAUACGACAUGACUCGGACACCACGACUCGACAACUUUCAAAAAAUUAGGACACGAAUACGGCAUAAAUACCGCUAAUAAAAUAUAAUAUUAUUAAUAUAAUAAUAUAUUUUUAUUAUAUAUAAAAUAUUAAUUUUGGAAAAUUAUUGUUAC
rnacentral:lncRNA from 1 species